rnacentral:tRNA from 1 species
GCGCUCGUAGCGCAGUGGCAGGGUCGCUGGCACGCACCCCAUCGGCCCGGGUUCGAUCCUUGUCGAGCGCC